AUUGAACGCUGGCGGAAUGCUUUACACAUGCAAGUCGAACGGCAGCGGACCUUCGGGUGCCGGCGAGUGGCGAACGGGUGAGUAAUAUAUCGGAACGUACCUUUCAGUGGGGGAUAACGUAGCGAAAGUUACGCUAAUACCGCAUAUUCUGUGAGCAGGAAAGCAGGGGAUCGCAAGACCUUGCGCUGAUUGAGCGGCCGAUAUCAGAUUAGCUAGUUGGUGAGGUAAAGGCUCACCAAGGCGACGAUCUGUAGUGGGUCUGAGAGGAUGAUCCGCCACACUGGAACUGAGACACGGUCCAGACUCCUACGGGAGGCAGCAGUGGGGAAUUUUGGACAAUGGGCGCAAGCCUGAUCCAGCCAUGCCGCGUGAGUGAAGAAGGCCU
rnacentral:rRNA from 1 species